ACGAACGCUGGCGGCGUGCUUAACACAUGCAAGUCGAACGGAAAGGCCCUGCUUUUGUGGGGUGCUCGAGUAGCGAACGGGUGAGUAACACGUGAGUAACCUGCCCUUGACUUUGGGAUAACUUCAGGAAACUGGGGCUAAUACCGGAUAGGAGCUCCUGCUGCAUGGUGGGGGUUGGAAAGUUUCGGCGGUUGGGGAUGGACUCGCGGCUUAUCAGCUUGUUGGUGGGGUAGUGGCUUACCAAGGCUUUGACGGGUAGCCGGCCUGAGAGGGUGACCGGCCACAUUGGGACUGAGAUACGGCCCAGACUCCUACGGGAGGCAGCAGUGGGGAAUAUUGCACAAUGGGCGGAAGCCUGAUGCAGCAACGCCGCGUGCGGGAUGACGGCCUUCGGGUUGUAAACCGCUUUCGCCUGUGACGAAGCGUGAGUGACGGUAAUGGGUAAAGAAGCACCGGCUAACUACGU
rnacentral:rRNA from 1 species